UGGGCAGUAUCAAAUGAACUGCACCCGAAGGUUCAAAAGUUAAUAGUUAUUUCUGCCUUGAUCCAUUGCGCGACAGGGACGGAGGA
rfam:Jeotgalibacillus soli Cunha et al. 2012 strain P9 contig00019, whole genome shotgun sequence.